GAUGAAGAACGUAGCGAAAUGCGAUACGUAAUGUGAAUUGCAGAAUUCAGUGAAUCAUCGAAUCUUUGAACGCACAUUGCGCCCCUUGGUAUUCCAUGGGGCAUGCCUGUUCGAGCGUCAUUUGUACCUUCAAGCUCUGCUUGGUGUUGGGUGUUUGUCUCGCCUCUGCGUGUAGACUCGCCUCAAAACAAUUGGCAGCCGGCGUAUUGAUUUCGGAGCGCAGUACAUCUCGCGCUUUGCACUCAUAACGACGACGUCCAAAAGUACAUUUUUACACUCUUGACCUCGGAUCAGGUAGGGAUACCCGCUGAACUUAAACAUAUCAAUAAGCGGAGGA
rnacentral:misc_RNA from 1 species